GUAGGUGGCAAGCGUUGUCCGGAUUUAUUGGGUUUAAAGGGUGCGUAGGUGGCCCUGUAAGUCAGUGGUGAAAUAUCUCAGCUUAACUGAGAGGGUGCCAUUGAUACUGCAGGGCUUGAGUACAGAUGAGGUAGGCGGAAUUGACGGUGUAGCGGUGAAAUGCAUAGAUAUCGUCAAGAACACCGAUAGCGAAGGCAGCUUACCAAGCUGUAACUGACACUGAGGCACGAAAGUGUGGGGAUCAAACAGGAUUAGAUACCCUGGUAGUCCACACUGUAAACGUUGAUGACUCGAUGUUGGCGAUACACAGCCAGCGUCCAAGAGCAAUCGUUAAGUCAUCCACCUGGGGAGUACGCCGGCAACGGUG
rnacentral:rRNA from 2 species